rnacentral:lncRNA from 1 species
CAUUACCAUCAACUUAGCAAACUUAAAACCACACCCUUUUAUUAGCUCACAUAUAUAUAGGUUGGAUAUCUGGGCAUGGAGUGGCUGGAUUCUUUGCUCAGGGUCUCACCAGGCCAAAAUCAACUUUUGGCUGAGGCUACUGUUCUCAUCUGGGACUCAGGGUCAUCUUCCAAGCUCAGGGGCUGUUGGAAGAAUUCAGUUCCUCACAUUUGUAGGACUGAGGUCCCCGUUUUCUUGUUGUCUGUCAGCUGGGGCCUGCUUUCAGCUCCAAGAGGCUGCCAACACUCCCUACCAGACCAGCAAUGGUGCGUGGGAUCCUUCUUGUGCUUCGGAUCUUUGAUCUCCUCUUCUGGGAUCAGCAGGAGAAGAUUUUCUGCUUUUAAAAGGCUCAUUUGAUUCAGAUAGGCCCACCUAGAAAAUCUCCCUGUUUUAAGCUCAUUUCCCGGAUUCUGUUGUCCUGUGGCUGCAUCCUGUCCUCACCUUGAAGCGCUCAUGGACCGUGGCAGGGAGAAAUAUUAAUGCGUCGAGCAUGUUGGAAGGCACAAAGGGAAAUGAGCCGGCAUCUUCAUUGCACCACUUUAAGGAAUGAGACUUUGUGCUGCUGCUUAGAGGGUUUUUAAAACGCGAGGACAUACCAUAUACAACAUAAUUUAAAGGCGCUAUCCAGUCCCCCUGAGGUCCAUUGGAGCGGAACUCCUUGGUCUGGCUGGUGUUUUAACUGUUCUGCUCAAGUAACUGCCAGCAAAUAAUAAAUAAGAAGGCCUUAUCUGUUAGUCUCUGUUUAAUUGGCACUGUUAAAUACAUAAACAGAAUCCUCCCACUCCUUCAAAUGCUAGCACUUCCCUUCGGGUCAAAUCAGUGGUUUUUGUAGUCCUGGCAGCUUAAUAAAGUACUGCUUGAUCAGAAUUAAAGUUUGAUUUGGAGGAAUGCUGAAUUUUCAUUUAUGAUAAUAGAUGGAAGUCCUGUGGAAAAUAGUGUUUGGGGCUUUCUCUUAAGCUGACAUCUAUCCCAUUAUAGUAAUAAUAUCUAAUCACAUUGACUGGAUGUGUGCUACAACUAUUAGGUGGAUAAAAACUAUUUGUUUUUCUUUACUAGGUUUGGAAGCACAACACGAGUCGUUGUUCAGAAAUAGGUUAUGUAGUUCAUGUUGACAGAUGCACACUCUUUAUAUCAAGUAUCAAAUAUACUAAUUAUGGUUAAGAAUCAUCCUUGCUAUAUUUAAAAAUAACUAUAUUGGGUUUAUUAUGGAGCUAAUAAGCAUCAUCCACAUUUUGUCCCUGAGUUUCUUUUUCCUGUGUAGUCUGGGAUUGGCAAACAAUAAUGAACCAAAUAAUAA